rnacentral:lncRNA from 1 species
UUGGUUGCAGAUGGAGGGCUGUAUAUGUGGACCACUGCUCUUGCAGAUGGGAAGUAGUUUCUUCUUUUCCAGUCUUGCUUGUGACAAUGUUGAACAGGCCCUGUGCCAUUACUUUAGAAGCUUUAACCAUCUCUCUUGUCUCAAUUAUUUUCGCCAGCCAGAAGUGAAUACGAGAUACUGUUGCUUGUCUGACAUGGAGGCCAUAUAAUU